rnacentral:tRNA from 2 species
AGUGGAGUCAGCUAAUCAAGCUCUUGGGCCCAUACCCCGAAAAUGUCGGUUACAAACCUUCCUUCACUA